GGGCAACCCAUUUUUCUCACCCAGUUCAUCUAUCAAACUGACUAAUCAUGGUACAUUCUGGUGAUGUUUUAUAAAGUUAAAAUGAGAUCACCGGCACCCAACUCUACCAUACGUUGGUGUCAUGUGAUAGUAACCUGAGACUUUAGAUCCUAAGGGUGGUCAGGGGUCACAUCUUAUGCCAAUGCUUAAGACCAGUGAUGAAUCUAGAGGGUGGUCAAAGGUCACCACGCCCCCCA